rnacentral:rRNA from 1 species
AAUCUUCCACAAUGGACGGAAGUCUGAUGGAGCAACGCCGCGUGAGCGAAGAAGGUGUUCGCAUCGUAAAGCUCUGUUGUAGUGGCAGAACACGUACGGGCGGCACUUCCCGUCCCUUGACGGUACCUUAUCAGAAAGCCACGGGUAACUACGGGCCAGCGUCCGCGGUAAUACGUAGGUGGCAAGCGUUGUCCGGAAUUAUUGGGCGUAAAGCGCGCGCAGGCGGUCCUUUAAGUCUGAUGUGAAAGCCCACGGCUCAACCGUGGAGGGUCAUUGGAAACCGGAGGACUUGAGUACAGAAGAGGAAAGCGGAAUUCCACGUGUAGCGGUGAAAUGCGUAGAGAUGUGGAGGAACACCAGUGGCGAAGGCGGCUUUCUGGUCUGUAACUGACGCUGAGGCGCGAAAGCGUGGGGAGCAAACAG